GACAGAGGGCUCAAACGUUGUUCGGAAUUACUGGGCAUAAAGCGCACGCAGGCGGCUUGUUAAGUCGGUUGUGAAAUCCCUCGGCUCAACCGAGGAACUGCAUCCGAUACUGAUAGGCUCGAGGACGGGAGGGGUAAGUGGAACUCCAGGUGGAACGGUGAAAUGUGUAGAUAUCUGGAGGAACACCGGUGGCGAAAGCGGCUUACUGGCCCGUAUCUGACGCUCAUGUGCGAAAGCUAGGGGAGCAAACGGG
rnacentral:rRNA from 1 species